GACGUAGGAGGCGAGCGUUGUCCGGAUUCAUUGGGCGUAAAGAGCGCGCAGGCGGCUUGGUAAGUCGGAUGUGAAAUCCCGAGGCUCAACCUCGGGUCUGCAUCCGAUACUGCCCGGCUAGAGGUAGGUAGGGGAGAUCGGAAUUCCUGGUGUAGAGGUGAAAUUCGUAGAUAUCGGGAGGAACACCAGUGGCGAAGGCGGCUCACUGGUCCAUUACUGACGCUGAGGUGGCGAAAAGCGUGGGGAGCAAACAGG
rnacentral:rRNA from 1 species